GAUGAAGAACGUAGCGAAAUGCGAUAAGUAAUGUGAAUUGCAGAAUUCAGUGAAUCAUCGAAUCUUUGAACGCACAUUGCGCCCGCUAGUAUUCUGGCGGGCAUGCCUGUCCGAGCGUCAUUUCAACCCUCAAGCCCCCGGGCUUGGUGUUGGGGAUCGGCGAGCCUCCACGCCCGCCGUCCCCUAAAUCUAGUGGCGGUCUCGCUGUAGCUUCCUCUGCGUAGUAGCACACCUCGCACUGGGAAACAGCGCGGCCACGCCGUUAAACCCCCAACUUCUGAACGUUUGACCUCGGAUCAGGUAGGAAUACCCGCUGAACUUAAGCAUAUCAAUAAGCGGAGGA
rnacentral:misc_RNA from 1 species